GACGAACGCUGGCGGCGUGCUUAACACAUGCAAGUCGAGCGAGGCCCAUCCUUCGGGGUGGUGCCCUAGCGGCGAAACGGGUGAGUAACACGUGGGCAACCUGCCCUCAGCUCUGGGAUAACUCCAAGAAAUUGGUGCUAAUACCGGAUGUGACCGCUGACCGCAUGGUCUGGUGGUGGAAAGAUUUAUCGGCUGAGGAUGGGCCCGCGGCCUAUCAGCUUGUUGGUGGGGCACGGCCCACCAAGGCGACGACGGGUAGCCGGCCUGAGAGGGUGACCGGCCACACUGGGACUGAGACACGGCCCAGACUCCUACGGGAGGCAGCAGUGGGGAAUAUUGCGCAAUGGGCGAAAGCCUGACGCAGCGACGCCGCGUGAGGGAUG
rnacentral:rRNA from 1 species